CCAUCCUCAUCCUCACCUUCCCUUUUAGCCAUUUACCAGAUCCUAGUUUCUGUUGCAGGAUGUUUUCUGCCGAUAGAUUGGUACCUCGAACUAUUAGUUAUUUGCUAGUUGCAUUUUCAAUCAUGCUCAGGUUGCAGUGAAAAUCACAGUCAAUCUGUUCAAAUAUUGAAAAUGUGACCUGAAUUUUUUUUGGGAAAACAUCUGAAUUGAAUUAACUUGCUGUUAUGCCUGAGAUGUCUCUGCUGUGGUUACAUAUAAAUAAUUGUGAUUUGACAUAAAAGAGUGAUGCUUUCUGGAGUCUACUAUUAAGACAAAUAGCAAUCACAUUUCUUUAGCGAGGAAAUAUCAGGUGCACAAGAGUAUAAUAGUGAACUGCACAUACUCAAAUUCAUACCUCGGAUCUGAUCUUUGUGGCCCAAUGGGCGUUGGAAUUCGCUCACCCAUCUUUGUCUUCUGAAUUAAAGGCUAUAGGAAUUAGUCACAAAUGCGUAUAUAUUUACCAAUAUACUCUUGUGUACCUGAUACUUGUAUUUAGCACUAUCAGGUACUGUCCACAUACACUGUCUUGCACUCUUGUGACAUUCCUUAAUAGGCAGUUGGAGAAACAGGGUAAAGAUGGUUUUGAUAGCCUUAUCGGCUGCAAAUACAAUUGUUUGGAUAUAACCGCAUAAGGAUCUGUCUUCCACACGUCCAUGAUUCUCAAAAAGAAGCUAUGCCAAUAAACAAUAAUUGAAUCAAUAGAUCAGUUAAUAUGAUUAAUUUAAUAUGACAGUAUUCCACAGUUGGUACUUAUGAAGUCAGCCGCAUCUAAUCUUUGUUAGUGACAUAUUAAUUCUAACUUUUUUAUUUCCCAGUGGCACAGAAUGCUUCUUCGCAUGAUUUCCUGGAUAGUUAUCUACAAUUCAGGCACAGGUAGUAUGAUUUGCCACACCGGAGCCCUAAGGGGGCAGUAGCAGGUUUGGUUGUUGGGGAGCUUGAGCUUUGCCAUCGUGUCUUUAUGGUCCUCUACCGCAUAUCCUCAAACAAGGAUCCUGGAGCAGGUCGUGUUGAGUCCCUUAGUAUGAAGGAACAUACAGGAAACAGAGCAGGGGAGGAUCAAGAGAGGAGAUGAACAAGAAGCAAGUUGAGCUCAAUGCAAAACUUGAUGCUAGAUUAAAACUUAAUCUGUUGUUUGAUGUGUGAUGUGAUGUGAUGCUGGAAAACUUGAGAUGUAUGAUGUAUCAGCAUUCUAAUUUUGAAAUUGAUUCUGUGGGCUGUUUUUUUAUAUAGCUUGUGUAUAAAGCUGAAUCUGGUUUGUUGGUAAUUAAUGUUGAGUU